rfam:Desulfovibrio sp. An276 An276_contig_41, whole genome shotgun sequence.
CUUGGUGACCAUGGAGAGGAGGGUACACCCGAUCCCAUUCCGAACUCGGAAGUUAAGCUCCUUUUCGCCGAUGAUACUGCAUAUCUUCAUGUGGGAAAGUAGGUAGUUGCCAAGA